UACGUAGGGACCGAGCGUUGUCCGGAAUCAUUGGGCGUAAAGGGCUCGUAGGCGGUCUGUCACGUCGGGAGUGAAAACUCGGGGCUUAACCCCGAGCCUGCUUCCGAUACGGGCAGACUAGAGGUAUGCAGGGGAGAAUGGAAUUCCUGGUGUAGCGGUGAAAUGCGUAGAUAUCUGGAGGAACACCGGUGGCGAAGGCGGCAUCCUGGACCGGCAUUGACGCUGAGGCGCGAAAGCCAGGGGAGCAAACGGG
rnacentral:rRNA from 1 species